GAAAUAUGGACAAUGGGCGAAAGGCUGAUCCAGCAAUGCCGCGUGCAGGAAGAAGGCCUUCGGGGUGUAAACUGCUUUUGUACGGAACGAAAAGCUUUGGGUUAAUACCCUGGAGUCAUGACGGUAACGUAAGAAUAAGAACCGCCUAACUCCCUGCCAGCAGCCGCGGUACUACGUAGGGUGCAAGCGUUAAUCGGAAUUACUGGGCGUAAAGCGUGCGCAGGCGGUUUUGCAAGACAGAGGUGAAAUCCCCGGGCUCAACCUGGGAACGGCCUUUGUGACUGCAAGGCUAGAGUACGGCAGAGGGGGGUGGAAUUCCGCGUGUAGCAGUGAAAGGCGUAGAUAUGCGGAGGAACACCGAUGGCGAAGGCAACCCCCUGGGCCUGUACUGACGCUCAUGCACGAAAGCGUGGGGAGCAAACA
rnacentral:rRNA from 1 species